GCAUAUGUAGUAUAAAGUUUAUAUUCAAUUUAGGUUUGAAAGAAGUCGGUAUGUU
rnacentral:tRNA from 1 species